UAUAUGUGUCUGUAGUCUGCAGAACUCUGAAGCUGCUUCCUCAGCUCGACCGAUUUGCGAUCCAAGGUGAAGGUUGUGAAAUUUUCUCUUUUUCCCAAAUUGGUAUGUGCGAAUUUUCAGCUUCUUAGUUUGCAGGGUAAUUUGAAGGAUUCUGGUUUCAUACUAGCUGCUAAAGUAAUAAAGAUGGAUUCUGACGAGGGCAUCUUAGGACACACUCCCUUGCAAAAGGGCGACACCUGUGACUGUGAGAACAACGCAUCCUCCCAGUCUCCACAUGAACAAGGUAUGAAUAAAAGACCUGCGAGAUUAAAUUUGUAUGAGAUCUGUGCUGCAAACCAUUGGAGGCCCCCUCUAUUUGAAUGUUACAAACAGGAUCGUCCAUGCCAUCAGAUAAUGUAAUUCUUCCGGCUAUGAUAUAGUACACCUAUUCUCACACAAUAAUUCUGUAUUUUAGUGUUUAAUGAUACUCGCUAGAUUUAUUACUUUUCAUUUUUGUUUACAAGAUUUAUUCUCUUUCAUGUAGUUAUCCGGCUAUGUACAUUCAACUUCCAAGCAGUUGUAACAAAAUUUGCCUUCAUUAGUCUUUGUGACAAAAUUAUAGUAUAAACUUCCGGCUGAUA